UAGGGAAUCUUCCACAAUGGACGCAAGUCUGAUGGAGCAACGCCGCGUGAGUGAAGAAGGCUUUUCGGGUCGUAAAACUCUGUUAUUGAAGAAGAACGUGCGUGACAGUAACUGGUCAUGCAGUGACGGUAUUCAAUCAGAAAGUCACGGCUAACUACGUGCCAGCAGCCGCGGUAAUACGUAGGUGGCAAGCGUUGUCCGGAUUUAUUGGGCGUAAAGCGAGUGCAGGCGGUC
rnacentral:rRNA from 1 species